rnacentral:tmRNA from 1 species
GGGGGCGUCACGGUCUCGACGGGCUGUGCCCAGGCGGAAGAAGCAAGCGGAGUUCCGAGCCCUCCUUAAACGAUCGGAAAACGCAUAAUCGCGAACAGCGACUACGCACUGGCCGCCUAACUUAGGCUGACCACGUCCGCGGGGCAACGGCGCCGGCACGGGCCCGCGGAUGUCAAACAAGACGGCUACCGCUCGCGGGUACCUCGACGCGGACGGAAAAUCGAUCGGGGCAUGCGACCGCGGUAAUCUCGCUCGGAAGAGUACGCGGCCGCGAGAACAAAGUCCGAGCUAAGCUUGUAGAUGCUUCCGUGGGGGUCUUCUCGGACACCGGUUCAACUCCGGUCGCCUCCACCA